GACGAACGCUGGCGGCGUGCUUAACACAUGCAAGUCGAACGGAAAGGCCUGCUUUCCCUUGUGGAUUGCGGGUACUCGAGUGGCGAACGGGUGAGUAACACGUGAGUGAUCUGCCCCCAACUUGGGUAUAAGCCUGGGAAACUGGGUCUAAUUCCCGAUAGGACUGCAGGGUGGUGCCUGUGGUGGAAAACGAUUUUCUAGUGGUUGGGGAUGAGCUCGCGGCCUAUCAGCUUGUUGGUGGGGUAAUGGCCUACCAAGGCGGCGACGGGUAGCCGGCCUGGGAUGGUGGACGGCGACAUUGGGACUGGGAUACGGCCCAGACUCCUACGCGAGGCAGCAGUGGGGAAUAUUGCACAAUGGGCGGAAGCCUGAUGCAGCGACGCCGCGUGGGGGAUGACGGGCUUCGGGUUGUAAGCUCCUUUCGACCGCGAGGAAGCCACCUGGUUGGAAGGGUGGUGACGGUAGUGGUAGAAGAAGCACCGGCUAACUACGUG
rnacentral:rRNA from 1 species